GUAUGCAUUAAGUUGCUCACAGUGACUUGAAGUUUGGAGACUUGAAUUUGUUGGCGUUCAUACCCUUGUAUCUGAAAUUGAUUACUUGAUGCUUGAAGAAGCAAUUGUGAAACAAGGCAAUAGUACAUCCUUGUUGCAAUAAUUGGACUGCUGGCUGCCUUAAAAUUUGAAUCUACUUGGACAUCACUCAUCAUUCUUCUCCAGGGCUACAUCGGACCUUUCAUCAAGGAAACAGCAUUGGACUGCUUUAAAGAUUGGACGGUUACUGAUGGCUACUUUGGGAUGUUCCGUUUCCUAAAUUAUUGAGUUGUGUCCGUGCUUUAUGUUACAUAGCAUACACUAAGCUUUUGAUAAUAUUGUUCUUGUUUCUUUAGUGUCUGAGGCUGGUAAUCACAGAAGCUUUGUGCUUUAUUUUCUUGCUACCCACCUGGGGACUGGCAACCCUAUUGCUACCUCAGUCCUGAGAGCUGUGCAGCUUUGCUUAGCUGUCCCAAAUUCACCCUGCGGUUCUGGCAUCCCAUUUUUCCACUUGCAGUCCUUUGCAAUCGCACCUGUUUCCACCUCUGCUCCAGUUUACUGAUGCUGCAAAUAAUAUGCUCAAAAACGGAAUUUGCCCUGCAAAUAAAAUAUUGCUCAUUCUU